AUACAUGCAAGUCGUACGCACUGGCCCAACUGAUUGAUUUUGCUUGCACCUGAUUGACGUUGGAUCACCAGUGAGUGGCGGACGGGUGAGUAACACGUAGGUAACCUGCCCCGGAGCGGGGGAUAACAUUUGGAAACAGAUGCUAAUACCGCAUAACAACAAAAGCCACAUGGCUUUUGUUUGAAAGAUGGCUUUGGCUAUCACUCUGGGAUGGACCUGCGGUGCAUUAGCUAGUUGGUAAGGUAACGGCUUACCAAGGCGAUGAUGCAUAGCCGAGUUGAGAGACUGAUCGGCCACAAUGGAACUGAGACACGGUCCAUACUCCUACGGGAGACAGCAGUAGGGAAUCUUCCACAAUGGGCGCAAGCCUGAUGGAGCAACACCGCGUGAGUGAAGAAGGGUUUCGGCUCGUAAAGCUCUGUUGUUGGAGAAGAACGUGCGUGAGAGUAACUGUUCACGCAGUGACGGUAUCCAACCAGAAAGUCACGGCUAACUACGUGCCAGCAGCCGCGGUAAUACGUAGGUGGCAAGCGUUAUCCGGAUUUAUUGGGCGUAAAGCGAGCGCAGGCGGUUGCUUAGGUCUGAUGUGAAAGCCUUCGGCUUAACCGAAGAAGUGCAUCGGAAACCGGGCGACUUGAGUGCAGAAGAGGACAGUGGAACUCCAUGUGUAGCGGUGGAAUGCGUAGAUAUAUGGAAGAACACCAGUGGCGAAGGCGGCUGUCUGGUCUGCAACUGACGCUGAGGCUCGAAAGCAUGGGUAGCGAACAGGAUUAGAUACCCUGGUAGUCCAUGCCGUAAAC
rnacentral:rRNA from 1 species